rnacentral:rRNA from 1 species
UGAGGAUGGCGGACGGGUGAGUAACGCGUAAGGAACUUGCCUCUUGGUCUGGGACAACUGUUGGAAACGACAGCUAAUACCAGAUAUUAUGAGAUUCUCGCAUGAGAAACUUAUGAAAGCUAUAUGCGCCAAGAGAGAGCCUUGCGUUCCAUUAGCUAGUUGGUGGGGUAACGGCCCACCAAGGCGACGAUGGAUAGCCGGCCUGAGAGGGUGAACGGCCACAAGGGGACUGAGACACGGCCCUUACUCCUACGGGAGGCAGCAGUGGGGAAUAUUGGACAAUGGGCCACAAGCCUGAUCCAGCAAUUCUGUGUGCACGAUGAAGGUCUUCGGAUUGUAAAGUGCUUUCAGUUGGGAAGAAGAAAGUGACGGUACCAACAGAAGAAGCGACGGCUAAAUACGUGCCAGCAGCCGCGGUAAUACGUAUGUCGCAAGCGUUAUCCGGAUUUAUUGGGCGUAAAGCGCGUCUAGGCGGAAAAAUAAGUCUGAUGUUAAAAUGCGGGGCUCAACUCCGUAUUGCGUUGGAAACUGUUUUUCUAGAGUACUGGAGAGGUGGGCGGAACUACAAGUGUAGAGGUGAAAUUCGUAGAUAUUUGUAGGAAUGCCGAUGGAGAAGUCAGCUCACUGGACAGAUACUGACGCUAAAGCGCGAAAGCGUG